rnacentral:rRNA from 1 species
GUUCCUUGGAAAAGGACAGCUGAGAGGGUGAGACUCCCGUCCGCCUGGUAGAGUGAGUCGUUGUCAACGAGUCGAGUUGUUUGGGAUUGCAGCUCUAAUUUGGUGGUAAACUCCAUCUAAAGCUAAAUAUUGGUGGGAGACCGAUAGCGUACAAGUACCGUGAGGGAAAGAUGCAAAGAACUUUGAAAAGAGAGUUAAAGAGUACCUGAAAUUGCUGAAACGGAAGCGAAGGAAACCAGUGUUUGUUGGUUCAUAUUUCCCUGGCCACUUGUGGUUUGGGCGCUGUGAGCUUGCGUGGGUUUGCUUUGGUUGAUCCCUUUGGAAGAGCGCAGUCAGAGUUGAUGUCU